rnacentral:rRNA from 1 species
GGACACAACUCUCAGUAAUGGAUAUCUCAGUUGUCACAUCGAUGAAGAGUGUAGUAAAAUGCAAUAUGUGGUGUGAAUUGCAGAAUCUUGCGAACCAUCGAGUCUUUGAACACAAGUUGCGCCCGAGGGCUGACGUCCGCCUGGGUGUCAAGC